GAAUCUUCCGAUCAAAGGAGGAGGACUGCGACAGGAGUGGAAUAUGUUUGGACACCCCUGGUCUACACUGUGACCGAUUAGUUGUGGAACAUUCAACACUUCUUACCGAACGAUGGAGUUAUGCAAUACUUUACAGGUUUGGCUCCCCCCUCUCAGGCUCCAGCACCUGUCUGGAUAACAAUACCUGUUCGAAUCCAUCAUCACACAACAUUUGAAAUCCCUCUUAAGCCCUGAAAUGUAGAUUUUGUGCGUUUCAUCCCAGUUUAUGUGCUCAGUUUCUUUGAAAAGUAGUUCUGCUCUGUUCGAGCAUACACCUUCGCAGCUUAACCUACAUUAAAACCAUUGAUCUGUGUCUCACCAGCACAACGCCAGCAUGUUAAGCAUUGCCUAAUCUGUCUCAUGCUACCUGGAUUUUCAUAUUGGAGUAAUAAUCCAGACGAAGGGAAAUAAGGGCCGAGUCACCUCAGGAUCUGUUUAAAAGCUUCUUAUCAGAGACCUGCACUCCCACCGUUAAAACUAAAAAGGCAAUGAUAGCCUUUCAAGCUCACAAGCUACGGAUUUAAUCAAAGCAGCUUGGGCUAAAAUGAAGCUCGGUGGCAUGUGUGAGUUCAGAAUCCUGUCCGAAAACAAUGCUGAUUCAGUCCACACCCAUGUCAGGUCACGUGUCUGGAAUUCCCCCCCCCCGAAGACUGAGAAAAAGGCCCUAAAAGAUAGCGGUUGGUAUCACUUGACAAUAUCAACGACUUGC